GCCACUGUGUUCUUGGGGAUCUUCAAUGCUGCAUAAAUGUUUUGUUACCCUUCCUCAGAUUUGUGCCUCAACACAAUCCUGUCUCGGAGCUCUACGGACAAUUCCUUCAACCUCAUGGCUUUGUUUUUGCUCUGACAUGCAGGUGUGUGCCUUUCCAAAGGGUCUGAAUGCUUAAGGUAUUUCAGUUUUUUUUAUUUGUAAUACAUUUCCAAACAUUUCUGAAUCUGUUUUCGCUUUGUCAUUAUGGGGUGUUGUGGGUGUGUAGAUGAGGAAAAAGAUUAAUUGAAUCAAUUUUAGAAUAAGGCUGUAAUGUAACUAAAUGUGGAAAAAGGGAAGGGGUCUGAAUACUUUCAGAAUGCACUGUAAAGAGGGAGGUUUUGUAAUGAACAAAUGUUUUAUUAUACUUUUGUAUCUGUUUUGUUUGUUUCAUCACCUUUUAUAAUUUUCUGUACACUUAGUUUUUUUAAAAGAUGAAUGCAUUUUGAAAUGUGUUCACCUUUUAUAGAAUUGUAUGUUUUUUGUUUUGCGUUUCAAUUUUCUGUUUUGUUUUAAAGGAAGUCCCAUCAUCGGCCACAAGGUUGAUAAAUCCCAAGCAGGAAAUUGAUUGAAGGUUCUCAAGGCAGUAUUAGUCUGUCACAUCUCUGACCAACUGUACCUCCUCUUUCUUUUAUAUGCGUUUCUGUAAGUUGGGGAUGUUGUUUUGCACUGCAGGCUUGUAAGACAGUUCAAUAACUCAAGGUGAUUGGUCUUGUCUGUGGAAUUAACAUCAAUCACUAUUGUCACUUUCUAACACUACAACGGGGAAGGAUGGGUCACCACUGGUAUUUUAUUUGGGAAAGAAAGGGAUAUAACUUUCUUUUUUCUCAACAUGUUCUGUUGAUCUCGUGCAACUGAGUGUUCCUUUUUAUUUUCCAAACCGAUGUUGAUAAAGGGAGUGUUCAUUUCUGUCUCAAGUAGGUACCGUAAGAUGACUAGGCCUACUGCAUGAUAUGACAAUACUGUAACUGAUGAACCUGUUCCUGCUCGUAUGAAAUUCCCCUUCCUGCGUUCCCACUGUUCACAAUCCUUACAGGUAUGUUUUAUGUAUUUUUGUCAUAUAGAUGUUGCGUGUUCUUCUCAUUGUGAAUGUUUCCAGUGUUUAUUUCCUGUGAAUCCAAAACCAUAGUAUCAUAUGUGAAUACCACCAAGGAUGUAUUUAUUCUAUUGUUGCCACGUUUAAAACGAAAUAAAC
rnacentral:lncRNA from 1 species